rnacentral:rRNA from 1 species
UGAGGAACAUGACCUUCGGCGGGGGAUAGCCGGCCCAACGGCCGGGUAAUACCGCGUACGACCACUUUGGGACAUCCCUGGGUGGUGAAAGCGAGCAAUGCGCCGAUGGAGUGCCUCGCGGCCUAUCAGCUAGUUGGUGAGGUAACGGCUCACCAAGGCGACGACGGGUAGCUGGUCUGAGAGGAUGGCCAGCCACAUUGGGACUGAGACACGGCCCAGACUCCUACGGGAGCAG